UACAGCCAUAUCAUGCUGAAACAUUGGUUCUUGUAUGAUCACCAAAGUUAACCAAUAUUGAGCUUGGUUAGUACCUAGAUGGGUGAUCACUUGGGAAUACCAGUUGCUGUUA